CCGAUACUAUUUUUAUCACGAAAAAAUGUGUAACAAAUGUACGGAGUUGAGCAUGAAUGGCUUUAGCUUGGUGCGAUCAACUGAACACCAUUAAACAAUUUUAUGUGGUGUGAUUCCAGAGAGAUGUGGAAGUCAAGGAUUAAGUUUCAAUCAUGUUCUGAAAGUCGAGAUCCAGCAGAUAAAGGAUCUAGAAAGCAGGGAAUGUGAAACGCAGGUCCCGGAAGUCGAAAUUCAGGAAGUAGAGGAUCUAGAGCGCAGGAUCCAGGAGGUAGAGGAUCCGGUGCUCGAAAUUUGCGGAGCGCGGUUCUCGUACGUCUUCUCUACUGCGCGUUUAUUACCGAACUAAGGAAUUUGGCUGAGCGAUUUUCGUCGUCGACGAUUAUCGAUCGAUGACGUCACAGGAGGAAAAAUUUUCAGUGACGUCAAAAUGUAAUUUCUGGACAUGUCUCAUUGCCAGUCAGCUGCUGGACAUGUACCAGAACGCACGUUAAUACAAGUUCGCACGCAAAACGAUAUCGCUGUAGUUAUUUAUCAGCCCUUUUACAUAUGAUAAUCUUAUGAUUAUUUACCAAAGCAAGAGUAUUUAUUUAAAAGCUCGAAUAACCACUAAACAAAAGAAUCUGAUUGCUGGAAGAUUUUCCGGUGGGUUACUAAUUCUACUUUGAGAGAGUGCUUUACAGGCUAUGUACAAAAAAUUCUUGUCUACCAAUGAUAAAUUUUCCGUUUUACGAAACUUACCUGAAUUCACAUUGCGUCUCCUGUUACAUUACGUAAUGAAAAUCUGUACAUUCUGAAAGUGGUGGACUGUUUUUUUGUUUAUAAUCCAAAGUGAGUGAACAAAUUGAGUUAUUAUAAAUUUUGCAAAAUUUUAUUUUUUCAUGUCACUCAUCUUGCGUGGAAAAUUCAUUAUUGUGAACAACACGCUAACGUGAAAAAUUAAUUAAUACCUAUUUAUUGAGAAUUUUUAUGAAGUUAAUGGUCGUCCAAUUUCUGGUGCUUGACCUUCUUAAUCUUGUUUUAACUGAUCCAUACUUCAAUGAGUUGUGAUCGAAACCUUUUAUACGAUUUUAAAAACUCGAAAUUAUCAAACUGUUAUGCUCGAAAUCAAACAAA